GAUGAACGCUAGCGAUAGGCUUAACACAUGCAAGUCGAGGGGCAGCAUGGUCUUAGCUUGCUAAGACUGAUGGCGACCGGCGCACGGGUGCGUAACGCGUAUGCAACUUGCCUCACAGAGGGGGAUAACCCGUCGAAAGACGGACUAAUACCGCGUACACUUGGGAUAGGGCAUCCUGACCCAAGGAAAUGAAAUUCGCUGUGAGAUAGGCAUGCGUCCCAUUAGCUAGUUGGUGAGGUAACGGCUCACCAAGGCGACGAUGGGUAGGGGAACUGAGAGGUUGAACCCCCACACUGGUACUGAGAAACGGACCAGACUCCUACGGGAGGCAGCAGUGAGGAAUAUUGGUCAAUGGGCGAGAGCCUGAACCAGCCAAGUCGCGUGAAGGAAGACUGUCUUAUGGAUUGUAAACUUCUUUUAUACGGGAAUAACAAGAGCCACGUGUGGCUCCCUGCAUGUACCGUAUGAAUGAGCAUCGGCUAACUCCGUG
rnacentral:rRNA from 1 species